rnacentral:lncRNA from 1 species
GUUGCGUAAAAAUGCUUAUGCGGAGCGCAAAAUGAAGAAGCGUCUAUUGCUUAACCGCAAAUUGACGGCUACAUUUAAGCGCAUGCCGUGUCUGCGGAUUUUGAACCACGAGCAUCGGUUUCUUAACGCAUCCAAGAAGCCAAGGCGCGCCAUGUUUGCAGACGAUGGGUACCAUGUGCACAGAGGCCGAGGAAUUGACCAGUUGGGAAAGAUCGUUGUCAAUGCUCUUGCUCAGCAGUUAGGCCAUGGUGUCAAGUCACCUACACGCGCUGAACCAGGUGCUGUCUACAAGGCAGUCAAGUGCUGCUACUGCAAAACCAAGGGCCACAAAUCAAAUGAAUGCAUGAAGUUCUGCAAGCCACCUUCUCGCCAGAUGUCAACACAACGCUAAAUGUUGCCUGCCAUCAAACGGCCCUUCUCAGGGCCACCCAUAUGUUGUCCGGCAGGUUAGAGAUGCUCCUGACCGUUGCCCUCUGCAUUUUCCUGUUUAGCUAGGAAUCGCUUUGCUUAGCAAGGUAUGUCGGGAAGGUAAGGAUGUACAUCUGGCAUAAUGCUAGGAUUCCUUUGCUUCCAAUUCUAUACUUAUGACCACAGCCAACCAGUUUCUGCAAU